GUAGUCCAUGCCGUAAACGUUGGGCACUAGGUGUGGGACCCCCUCAACGGGUUCCGUGCCGUAGCUAACGCAUUAAGUGCCCCGCCUGGGGAGUACGGCCGCAAGGCUAAAACUCAAAGGAAUUGACGGGGGCCCGCACAAGCAGCGGAGCAUGUUGCUUAAUUCGAGGCAACGCGAAGAACCUUACCUGGGUUUGACAUGUACGGAAAAGCCACAGAGAUGUGGUGUCCUUUUGGGCCGUACACAGGUGGUGCAUGGUUGUCGUCAGCUCGUGUCGUGAGAUGUUGGGUUAAGUCCCGCAACGAGCGCAACCCUUGUCCUAUGUUGCCAGCGGGUAAUGCCGGGGACUCGUAGGAGACUGCCGGGGACAACUCGGA
rnacentral:rRNA from 1 species